CACUGUAAGGAUUUAAAAUGGCUGACACAAAAAUCAUAUUAAAUUCUAUAACUUGUAAAAUAGAGUGAAUGCAAUCACACUUACAAGUUUCAUUGCUGUAGGAGAAAAGGGAAAAUUUUUCUAA